AUCAGACUCCAAGGAGAGGCCAACAGAUGAGGGAGCCAUUUUUCUGCAAUGGAAUUAAAUGGCCAAGUGGGUUUUUCCUUUGUUGCAAAUGGGGAAUGCUUUUCCUUUGACUCCACCAUCCAGUUCAGGACGCCUGAAUGUGUUUAACAUUUGCCAAAGGACUCACACUUGGAAGAAUGAAGACCUUUUAAAAAGAUCUGGAUUUUUCCUUAUGACUUGGAAUCCAUCUUUGUCUUGUAUAACUAGGUCAUAGCACACUAUUAAUGUCAGCAGUUAACAGUUUUGAAUUCAAAAAAACCUAAAGCACUAAACAGCCCUCAGCGAAGCCGCCUUUUUGCCAGCCCAACCCUGGAAAGUUUGCAGUCGUGGAAGGAGCAGAAAUACCACGAGUGUAACUUACAAAGAAGGUCUUGGCCGGAGACCGGAGCCAUGUCUGUGUUAUCCCCACUGUAGACAAUCCUUGCUUCCUCUGGACAUCUGGAGCAGGCCCAAUUUGACUGAGAGCCUUCCCCCACUAAGGAAUUCCUGGACAAUGGAGAGUGCCCCAGGCCCCCUGAACAUCUUGCUGAUGAGGGAGUAAAGCCACCCUGGGUGGGUGUGAGUGCGCGCGCGCGCGCCUAUCUCCUCAGCUGGCCCGGCCCGACCUCUGAGGAGGCUCUCACCAGCAGCUGGCUAGAUUCCUGGUUAUUUUUAGUUACAGAUCCAGCCCCACCAUCACCACCAGAGUUGAGUCCAAAUCCAACACUCUAGGCCGGGUAGUGCUGGGACUUUGCCAGCCUCCUGCUGAGGUAGGGCUGGGUGAGUAGGCAGGCUGGAACGGGUGGGGUGGCCGUGUGCUGUCUGAACCCUCCCCAGAGCUGGUCGCUUUUGGUCAUUUCCUCCCUGCAGACUUGCUCUUCCUCCACACAGGUCUGGGGGAGUUUGUGGGAAGCCAGGAGCCCUCUCUUGGUUAUAUGUAGUAGAACAAGUUUUUUUUCUUAGAAGUGAAUUCUCCCCUUGGCAAACUGCAGCCAGCCAGCCUCCUGGGUCGAGAGCCAAGCCAAAAGAUGUCUGAGAGAAGAAACCUGGGGUCCUGCAAAGGUAAGUGGGUCCCAGCCCACUCUCAAUCCCCCUCUCUCUGUGUGAUUGCUAUUCCACACUGGAGUCACCUGCUCUGUGCUUCUGAGGAACCUCACCUCUGGCACAUCAAUGGAAAUUGUCCUUCCCUUUUUAUUUAUUUUUAUUUAUUUUUUAUUUUUUGCCACCCUCACUGGCCACUAAGAGAUAGCCCUAGCUCCUCCUCUCCUGCCUGGUUUUGACAGGACUCACUCCAUUGAGUCCUGUCUCGUCUCUUUGCAGCCCUCCUCCUCCCCCCCCCCCCCCUUCAGCCAGCACUUAGGCCCUCCCUGAUUUAGCCCGUUACCUUGACAACCACUUGGGCCUGUCUCCCUCAUCACCACUGAAAACCUGAAGGUGGUUUUCCAGCUGCGGUACAUUUGCCCAAGUUGGGCACCCCUCCAGCUUCUAUUGGCUCGCCCUCUAUACAGCUGUACCCAAUAUAACAAACACAACCUUCCUGGCCCCUCAGCUGUAGUCUCGAAAUUGAUCUCACUGGUCCCGGGAACUCCGUCAAUACUGCCUCCUCUAGACUGAGCUCCUCACAGGCAGGAACAUGGUUGUUUCUCAAUAAACAAGUUGCAAAAAAAGGAA
rnacentral:lncRNA from 1 species